AUCAAAAUUUAAAGUUUUUUUUUCAAAGUAAAACUGGCAACUUUGUUCAAAAAAUGCAUAGGCAAAAUAUAAAUAAACAAAAAGUCUUCAUUGUAGCUGAGAGGCCGUGCUAUAGCAACUAACUUUACUUUUACAAUUAAUUCAAAUCGUUUAUAUUAUUAUCGUUUCCAUCUGAUAGGUGCCAUGGCCACUGAAAAUUAUGUGCACAAAGGUGAUGUUUGCUGUUUAUUCUGCUUGCGCUAUAUAAAUAUCUAUCGUGAAAAACGGACGGAAAAUGGAAGUGCUGAGAAGUUCAAUGUCUUCUGCUACUGACCAAAAGAAGUCUUUGGUCGACGGAUAAAAUAUGGAGCACUAAAGGACCCAAAGCGGAGGUCAAAUCACUGUCAAAGAACUAAGAGCCUACCGGUUCAAAAUACAUUUUGCCGAUUCCAAUGAUGAAACUCGAGAGCGGAAGCCGGUGGAAAUUGUCUCGGCCAGAAUCAGUGUGAAUUGAGCAAUUUGCCUGCAGAGCUUUUUAAGCAAAUUGCAAUGCAAAAUACGGCCGUCACGAUCGCUAAAGAAUGGAGCAACAUUCCGAGCUCCGUGCAGCAAAUUGUGCAACAAAAAGGAAUCAGGUGACUGAGCAGGUGACUAGGGCUGAAAACGGUACAUGCGGUACAACUGAUUGUCGACAGAAACAUCCUAAUUAUAAAGAUGUCAAAGGAGAACCAAAGUUAUUGCAAAAAACAUCUCCUGGAUUCGGAGUCACUAUUGUGGUUGUGCGAAAUCACCAAGCAGAUCAGGUGGAGUAAAUUGAGGAAGCAGGAAUUAUUGAUAAACAUGUGAGACUGAACUGAUUACAUUAAAACAAAUUUAAUAAAUUCUAUGAUUCCCAUAAUAUAUUUUUCUAUGUGUCUUUUCAAUGUUUUUUGCAUGCAAAGUAUGAUUAUUAAAUUAUUUAUUAGAUAAUUAUUGUGUUUUAUUGGGAGUUCAGACGAGUAAUUCGCUAUAGCCAGCGACUACAUCC